CCUACGGGAGGCAGCAGUGAGGAAUAUUGGUCAAUGGGCGAGAGCCUGAACCAGCCAUGCCGCGUGCAGGAAGAAUGCCCUAUGGGUUGUAAACUGCUUUUAUUUGGGAAUAAACCUCUUUACGUGUAAGGAGCUGAAGGUACCAAAUGAAUAAGCACCGGCUAACUCCGUGCCAGCAGCCGCGGUAAUACGGAGGGUGCAAGCGUUAUCCGGAAUCAUUGGGUUUAAAGGGUCCGCAGGCGGGAUUAUAAGUCAGUGGUGAAAUCUCAUAGCUUAACUAUGAAACUGCCAUUGAUACUGUAGUUCUUGAAUGUGGUCGAAGUGGGCGGAAUAUGACAUGUAGCGGUGAAAUGCAUAGAUAUGUCAUAGAACACCGAUAGCGAAGGCAGCUCACUAGGCCAUAAUUGACGCUCAUGGACGAAAGCGUGGGGAGCAAACAGGAUUAGAUACCCUUGUAGUC
rnacentral:rRNA from 1 species